UUCACUCUCCCGAAUAAAAAAUCCCCAAUUUCACUCUCCCAAGCCCAAACCCACAGAAUCGAAAACCCUCCCCACGCCUCACCAUCUCCGACAUCACCCCAGACGACGGCACCGUCGACGAUCCGACAGGGCGUGUCGAAGGUUUGGCUGCCUCCCGCUUCACGUUUUUUUACCGCACUUCGAACGAAGAUUGUCGCCACUUCGGGAGCACAUCCAUCCAACUUUCUCCUGUUGAUAUAUUGGAAACGAGAUAACUAUAUGCACUGGGGUUUAAGGUUUUGCUAUGUGUUGUCUUUUAAUCUCAAUACUAACGAAGGGUUGAACAAUUUUUGAUAUGGUUUACUGUAUAUUCAGAGAAGUUUCUGCUAUGGUUAACUUCAACAAUAGAUUAUAUCAAUAUUAUUAUAUUUGAUUAUGUCAGAUGCUUGGGCUCUAAUAAGUUAAAAGUCUCCCAAUUUAUGUGUAUAAAUACAAGGUUCAAUAAUCGUCUCCCUGGAACGAGCUAUUUCAGUUAUAAAAUUACAUUUCAAAUUCAAUGAGAUAACUGUAUGCCCCGGGAUUUAAGGUUUGCUAUGUUUUGUGUUUUAAUCUCAAUACUACCGAAGGGUUGAUCAAAUUUUGCACUUGUCAGAUGAUAUUUGAACUGUGUUAUUUGUAGGCAGUAGUAUGUUUGUUUAAUUUUUUCGAUCUUGGUCUUUGCUUCCAAAUUAAGCCUAUUCAUCUAUUUUGUUCUUGUCUUGUUUAUGUCAUUCUAAGCAGUUAGCCGGUGAGGGAUUGAAAUUGUGUGGGAUUGUUCUUGUCUUGUGUAUGUCAUUCUAGG
rnacentral:lncRNA from 1 species